CGUCCGCCAGACUCGGAAUGCCGCGAGACUUUGCGAGGGGCCUCCGUGCUCCAAAAAUAGGCCGCGGGAAAGCCGCACCCAAAAAUAACCGCCCGAAGAGCGGGGCGCCAAGUUCGUCCAGCGAAAAAAAGCCACAAAAACGGGUGGGCUAUAGCCUUCGGGGGUGGGGCUACCCAACUUCGUCCGCCGGACUCGGAAUGCCGCGAGACUUUGCGAGGGGUCUCCAUGUGCCAAAAAUAGGCCGUGGGCAAAGCCGUGCCCAAAAAUAACCGCCCGAUGGCCGGGGCGCCAAGUUCGUCCAGCGGAAAAAGGCCACAAAAACAGGUGGGCUAUAGCCUUGGGGGGUGGGGCUGGCCAACCUCGUCCGCCGGACUCGGAAUGGUGCGAGACUUUGCGACGCGCCUGCGUGUGCCAAAAAUAGGCCGCGGGCAAAGCAGUGCCCAAAAAUAACCGCCCGAAGGCCGGGGCGCCAAGUUCGUCCAGCGGAAAAAGGCCAAUAAAACGGGUGGGCUAUAGCCUUGGGGGGUGGGGCUGGCCAACAUCGUCCGCCGGACUCGGAAUGGCACGAGACUUUGCGAGGUGCGUCCGUGUGCCAAAAAUAGGCCGCGGGCACAGCCGCGCUGAAAAAUAACCUCCCGAAAGCCGGGGCGCCAAGUUCGUCCAGCGGAAAAAGGCCACAAAAACGGGUGGGCUAUAGCCUUGGGGGGUGGGGCUGGCCAACAUCGUCCGCCGGACUCGGAAUGGCACGAGACUUUGCGAGGUGCCUCCGUGUGCCAAAAAUAGGCCGCGGGCACAGCCGCGCCGAAAAAUAACCUCCCGAAAGCCGGGGCGCCAAGUUCGUCCAGCGGAAAAAGGCCACAAAAACGGGUGGGCUAUAGCCUUGGGGGGUGGGGCUGGCCAACAUCGUCCGCCGGACUCGGAAUGGCACGAGACUUUGCGAGGGGCCUGCGUGUGCCAAAAAUAGGCCGCGGGCAAAGCCGCGCCCAAAAAUAACUCCCGAAGGCCGGGGCGACAAGUUCUUCCUGCGGAAAAAGGCCACAAAAACGGGUGGGCUAUAGCCUUGGGGGGUGGGGCUGGCCCACUUCGUCCACCGGACUCGGAAUGCCGCGAAACUUUGCGAGGGGCCUCCGUGUGCCAAAAAUAGGCCGCGGGCAAAUCCGUGCCCAAAAAUAACCACCCGAUGGCCGGGGCGCCAAGUUCGUCCAGCGGAAAAAGGGCACAAAAACGGGUGGGCUAUAGCCUUGGGGGGUGGGGCUGGCCAACUUCGUCUGCCGGACUCAGAAUGCUGCGAGACUUUCGAGGGGCCUUCGUGUGCCAAAAAUAGGCCACGGCCAAAGCUGCGCCCAAAAAUAGCCGCCCGAAGACCGGGGCGCCAAGUUCGUCCUGCGGAAAACGGCCACAAAAACGGGUGGGCAAUAGCCUUUGGGGGUGGGGUUGGCCAACUUCGUCCGCCGGACUCGGAAUGCCGCGAGACUUUGCAAGGGGGCUGCGUGUGCCAAAAAUAGGCCGCGGGCAAAGCCGCGCCCAAAAAUAACUCCCGAAGGCCGGGGCGACAGGUUCUUCCUGCGGAAAAAGGCCACAAAAACGGGUGGGCUAUAGCCUUGGGGGGUGGGGCUGGCCCACUUCGUCCACCGGACUCGGAAUGCCGCGACACUUUGCGAGGGGCCUCCGUGUGCCAAAAAUAGGCCGCGGGCAAAGCCGCGCCCAAAAAUAACUGCCCGAAUGCCGGGGCGCGAAGUUCGUCCAGCGGUAAAAGGCCACAAAAACGGGUGGGCUAUAGCCUUGGGGGGUGGGGCUGGCCAACUUCGUCUGCCGGACUCCGAAUGCUGCGAGACUUUCGAGGGGCCUCCGUGUGCCAAAAAUAGGCCGCGGCCAAAGCUGCGCCCAAAAAUAGCCGCCCGAAGACCGGGGCGCCAAGUUCGUCCUGCGGAAAACGGCCACAAAAACGGGUGGGCAAUAGCCUUGGGGGGUGGGGCUGGCCAACUUCGUCCGCCGGACUUGGAAUGCCGCGAGACUUUGCGAGGGGCCUCCGUGCUCCAAAAAUAGGCCGCGGGAAAGCCGCGCCCAAAAAUAACCGCCCGAAGGCCGGGGCGCCAAGUUCGUCCAGCGGAAAAAAGCCACAAAAACGGGUGGGCUAUAGCCUUGGGGGGUGGGGCUGCCCAACUUCGUCCGCCGGACUUGGAAUGCCGUGAGACUUUGCGAGGGGACUCCGUGUGCCAAAAAUAGGCCGCGGGCAAAUCCGUGCCCAAAAAUAACCGCCCGAUGGCCGGGGCGCCAAGUUCGUCCAGCGGAAAAAGGGCACAAAAACGGGUGGGCUAUAGCCUUGGGGGGUGGGGCUGGCCAACUUCUUCCGCCGGACUCGGAAUGCCGCGAGACUUUGCGAGGGGCCUCCAUACGCAAAAAUAGGCCGCGGCCAAAGCUGCGCUCAAAAAUAGCCGCCCGAAGACCGGGGCACCAAGUUCGUCCUGCGGAAAACGGCCACAAAAACGGGUGGGCUAUAGCCUUGGGGGGUGGGGCUGGCCAACUUCGUCCGCCGGAAUCGGAAUGCCGCGACACUAUGCAUGGGGCCUCCGUGUGCCAAAAAUAGGCCGCGGCCAAAGCCACGCCCAAAAAUAACCGCCCGAAGGCCGGGGCGCCAAGUUCGUCCAGCGGUAAAAGGCCACAAAAACGGGUGGGCUAUAGCCUUGGGGGGUGGGGCUGCCCAACUUCGUCCGCCGGACUCAGAAUGCCGCUAGACUUUACGAGGGGCCUCCGUGCGCCAAAAAUAGGCCAUGACCAAAGACGCGUUUAAAAAUAUCUGCCCGAAGGCCGGGGAGCCAAGUUCAUCCGGCGGAAAACGGCCUCAAAAACGGGUGGGCUAUAGCCUUGGGGGGUGGGGCUGGCCAACUUCGUCCGCCGGACUCGGAAUGCCGCGAGACUUUGCGAGGGGCCUCCGUGUGUAAAAAAUAGGCCACGGACAAAGCCGCGCCCAAAAAUAACCUCCCAAAGGCCGGGGCACCAAGUUCGUCCAGCGGAAAAAGGCCAUAAAAAUGGGUGGGCUAUAGCCUGGGUGGUGAGGCUGGCCAACUUCGGCCACCGGGCUCGGAAUGCCGCGAGACUUUGUGAGGGGCCUCGGUGUGCCAAAAAUAGGACACGGCCAAAGCCGCGCCCAAAAAUAACAGCCCGAUGGCCGGGGCGCCAAGUUCGUCCAGCGGAAAAAGGCCACAAAAACGGGUGGGCUAUAGCCUUGGGGGGUGGGGCUGGCCCACUUCGUCCGGCGGACUCGGAAUGCCGCGACACUUUGCGAUGGGCCUCCAUGUGCCAAAAAUAGGCCGCGGGCAAAGCCGCGCCAAAAAAUAACCGCCCGAAGGCUGGGGCGCCAAGUUAGUCUAGCGGAAAAAGGCCACAAAAACGGGUGGGCUACUGCCAUGGGGGGUGUGGCUGGCCAACUUCAUCCGCCGGACUCGGAAUGCCGCGACACUUUGCGAGGGGCCUCCGUGUGCCAAAAAUAGGCCGCGGGCAAAGCCGCGCCCAAAAAUAACCGCCCGAAGGCCAGGGCGCCAAGUUCGUGCAGCGGAAAAAGGCCACAAAAACGGGUGGGCUAUAGCCUUGGGGGGUGGGGCUGGCCCACUUCGUCCGCCGGACUCGGAAUGCCGCGACACUUUGCGAGGGUCUCCGUGUGCCAAAAAUAGGCCGCGGGCAAAGCCGUGCCCAAAAAUAACCGCCCGAAGGCCGGGGCGCCAAGUUCGUCCAGCGGAAAAAGGCCACAAAAACGGGUGGGCUAUAGCCUUGGGGGGUGGGGCUGGCCAACUUCGUCCGCCGGACUCGGAAUGCCGCGACACUUUACGAGGGUCCUCCGUGUGCCAAAAAUAGGCCGCGGGCAAAGCCGCGCCCAAAAAUAACUGCCCGAAGGCCGGGGCGCCCAGUUCGUCCAGCGGUAAAAGGCCACAAAAACGGGUGGGCUAUAGCCUUGGGUGGUGGGGCUGGGCAACUUCGUCUGCCGGACUCAGAAUGCUGCGAGACUUUCGAGGGGCCUCCCUGUGCCAAAAAUAGGCCGUGGCCAAAGCUGCGCCCAAAAAUAGCCGCCCGAAGACCGGGGCGCCAAGUUCGUCCUGCGGAAAACGGCCACAAAAACGGGUGGGCAAUAGCCUUGGGGGGUGGGGCUGGCCAACUUCGUCCGCCGGACUUGGAAUGCCGUGAGACUUUGCGAGGGGCCUCCGUGCUCCAAAAAUAGGCCGCGGGAAAGCCGCGCCCAAAAAUAACCGCCCGAAGGCCGGGGCGCCAAGUUCGUCCAGCGGAAAAAAGCCACAAAAACGGGUGGGCUAUAGCCUUGGGGGGUGGGGCUGCCCAACUUCGUCCGCCGGACUUGGAAUGCCGUGAGACUUUGCGAGGGGACUCCGUGUGCCAAAAAUAGGCCGCGGGCAAAGCCGUGCCCAAAAAUAACCGCCCGAUGGCCGGGGCGCCAAGUUCGUCCAGCGGAAAAAGGGCACAAAAACGGGUGGGCUAUAGCCUUGGGGAGUGGGGCUGGCCAACUUCUUCCGCCGGACUCGGAAUGCCGCGAGACUUUGCGAGGGGCCUCCAUGCGCAAAAAUAGGCCGCGGCCAAAGCUGCGCUCAAAAAUAGCCGCCCGAAGACCGGGGCGCCAAGUUCGUCCUGCGGAAAACGGCCACAAAAACGGGUGGGCUAUAGCCUUGGGGGGUGGGGCUGGCCAACUUCGUCCGCCGGAAUCGGAAUGCCGCGAGACUUUAUGAGGGGCCUCUAUGUGCGAAAAAUAGGCCGCGGGCAAAGCCGCGCCCAAAAAUAACCGCCCGAAGGCCUGGGCGCCAAGUUCGUCCAGCGGAAAAAGGCCACAACAACGGGUGGGCUAUAGCCUUGGGGGGUGGGGCUGGCCCACUUCGUCCGCCGGACUCGGAAUGCCGCGAGACUUUAUGAGGGGCCUCUGUGUGCGAAAAAUAGGCCGCGGGCAAAGCCGCGCCCAAAAAUAACCGCCCGAAGGCCUGGGCGCCAAGUUCGUCCAGCGGAAAAAGGCCACAAAAACGGGUGGGCUAUAGCCUUGGGGGGUGGGGCUGGCCAACUUCGUCCGCCGGACUCGGAAUGCCGCGAGAAUUUGCGAGGGGCCUCCGUGUGCCAAAAAUAGGCCGCGGGUGAAGCCGUGCCCAAAAAUAACCGCCAGAAGGCCGGGGCGCCAAGUCCGUCAAGCGGAAAAAGGCCAGAAAAACGGGUGGGCUAUAGCCUUGGGGGGUGGGGCUGGCCCACUUCGUCCGCCGGACUCGGAAUGCCGCGAGACUUUGCGAGGGGCCUCCGUGUGCCAAAAAUAGGCCGCGGGCAAAGCAGCACCCAAAAAUAACCGCCCGAAGGCCGGGGCGCCAAGUUCGUCCAGCGGAAAAAGGCCAAAAAAACAGGUGGGCUAUAGCCUUGGGGGGUGGGACUGGCCCACUUCGUCCGCCGGACUCGGAAUGCCGCGAGACUUUGUGAGGGGCCUCCGUGUGCCAAAAAUAGGCCGCGGGCAAAGCCGCGCCCAAAAAUAACCGCCCGAAGGCCUGGGCGCCAAGUUCGUCCAGCGGAAAAAGGCCACAAAAACGGGNNNNNNNNNNNNNNNNNNNNNNNNNNNNNNNNNNNNNNNNNNNNNNNNNNNNNNNNNNNNNNNNNNNNNNNNNNNNNNNNNNNNNNNNNNNNNNNNNNNNGGGGGGUGGGGCUGGCCAACUUCGUCCGCGACUCGGAAUGCCGCGAGAAUUUGCGAGGGGCUCCGUGUGCCAAAAAUAGGCCGCGGGCGAAGCCGUGCCCAAAAAUAACCGCCAGAAGGCCGGGGCGCCAAGUUCGUCAAGCAGAAAAAGGCCACAAAAACGGGUGGGCUACAGCCUUGGGGGGUGGGGCUGGCCCACUUCGUCCGCCGGACUCGGAAUGCCGCGAAACUUUGCGAGGGGCCUCCGUGUGCCAAAAAUAGGCCGCGGGCAAAGCAGCACCCAAAAAUAACCGCACGAAGGCCGGGGCGCCAAGUUCGUCCAGCGGAAAAAGGCCACAAAAACAGGUGGGCUAUAGCCUUGGGGGGUGGGGCUGGCCCACUUCGUCCGCCGGACUCGCAAUGCCGCGAGACUUUGUGAGGGGGCUCCGUGUGGCAAAAAUAGUCCGCGGGCAAAGCCGCGCCAAAAAAUAACCGCCCGAAGGCCUGGGCGCCAAGUUCGUCCAGCGGAAAAAGGCCACAAAAACGGGUGGGCUAUAGCCUUGGGGGGUGGGGCUGGCCAACUUCGUCCGCCGGACUCGGAAUGCCUCGAGACUUUGCGAGGGGCCUCCGUGUGCCAAAAAUAGGCCGCGGGUGAAGCCGCGCCCAAAAAUAACCGCCAGAAGGCCGGGGCGCCAAGUUCGUCAAGCGGAAAAAGGCUACAAAAACGGGUGGGCUAUAGCCUUGGGGGGUGGGGCUGGCCCACUUCGUCCGCCGGACUCGGAAUGCCGCGAGACUUUGCGAGGGGCCUCCGUGUGCCAAAAAUAGGCCGCGGGCAAAGCAGCACCCAAAAAUAACCGCCCGAAGGCCGGGGCGCCAAGUUCGUCCAGCGGAAAAAGGCCACAAAAACGGGUGGGCUAUAGCCUUGGGGGGUGGGGCUGGCCCACUUCGUCCGCCGGACUCGGAAUGCCGCGAGACUUUGUGAGGGGCCUCCGUGUGUCAAAAAUAGGCCGCGGGCAAAGCCGCGCCCAAAAAUAACCGCCCGAAGGCCUGGGCGCCAAGUUCGUCCAGCGGAAAAAGGCCACAAAAACGGGUGGGCUAUAGCCUUGAGGGGUGGGGCUGGCCAACUUCGUCCGCCGGACUCGGAAUGCCUCGAGACUUUGCGAGGGGCCUCCGUGUGCCAAAAAUAGGCCGCGGGUGAAGCCGCGCCCAAAAAUAACCGCCAGAAGGCCGGGGCGCCAAGUUCGUCAAGCGGAAAAAGGCUACAAAAACGGGUGGGCUAUAGCCUUGGGGGGGGGGGCUGGCACACUUCGUCCGCCGGACUCGGAAUGCCGCGAGACUUUGCGAGGGUCUCCGUGUGCCAAAAAUAGCCCGCGGCAAAGCCGCGCCCAAAAAUAACCGCCCGAAGGCCGGGGCGCCAAGUUCGUCCAGUGGAAAAUGGCCACAAAAACGGGUGGGCUAUAUCCUUGGGGUGUGGGGCUGGCCAACUUCGUCCGCCGGACUCGGAAUGCCGCGAGACUUUACGAGGGGCCUCCGUGUGCCAAAAAUAGGCCGCGGGUAAAGCCGGGCCCAAAAAAAACCGCCCGAAGGCCGGGGCGCCAUGUUCCUCCAGCGGAAAAAGGCCACAAAAACAGGUGGGCUAUAGCCUUGGGGGGUGGGGCUGGCCAACUUCGUCCGCCGGACUCGGAAUGCCGCGAGACUUUGCGAGGGGCCUCCAUGUGCCAAAAAUAGGCCGUUGGCAAAGCCGCGCCCAAAAUUAACCGCCCGAAGGCCGGGGCGCCAAGUUCGUCCAGCGGAAAAAGGCCACAAAAACGGGUGGGCUAUACCCUUGGGGGGUGGGGGUGGCCAACUUUGUCCGCCGGACUCGGAAUGGCGCAAGACAUUGUGAGGGCCCUCCGUGUGCCAAAAAUAGGCCGUGGGAAAAGCCGCGCCCAAAAAUAACCGCCCGAAGGCCGGGGCGCCAAUUUCGUCCAGCGGAAAAAGGCCACAAAAACGGGUGGGCUAUAGCCUUGGGGGGUGGGGCUGGCCAACUUCGUCCGCCGGACUCGGAAUGCCGUGAGACUUUGCGAGGGGCCUCCGUGUGCCAAAAAUAGGCCGCGGGCAAAGACGAGCCAAAAAAUAACCGCCCGAAGGCGGGGGCGCCAUGUUCGUCCAGCGGAAAAAGGCCACAAAAACGGGUGGGCUAUAGCCUUGGGUGGUGGGGCUGGCCAACU
rnacentral:lncRNA from 1 species